GUUUUACUCCCUCCGUUCGGAAUUACUUGUCUCGAAAAUGGAUGUAUCUAGAACUAAAAUACAUCUAGAUACAUCCAUUUGUACGACAAGUAAUUCCGAACGGAGGGAGUACGAG
rnacentral:pre_miRNA from 1 species